GAGUGAACGCUGGCGGUAGGCCUAACACAUGCAAUUCGAACGGCAGCACAGUAAGAGCUUGCUCUUACGGGUGGCGAGUGGCGGACGGGUGAGGAAUACAUCGGAAUCUACUUUUUCGUGGGGGAUAACGUGGGGAAACUUACGCUAAUACCGCAUACGACCUACGGGUGAAAGCAGGGGAUCUUCGGACCUUGCGCGAUUGAAUGAGCCGAUGUCGGAUUAGCUAGUUGGCGGGGUAAAGGCCCACCAAGGCGACGAUCCGUAGCUGGUCUGAGAGGAUGAUCAGCCACACUGGAACUGAGACACGGUCCAGACUCCUACGGGAGGCAGCAGUGGGGAAUAUUGGACAAUGGGCGCAAGCCUGAUCCAGCCAUACCGCGUGGGUGAAGAAGGCCUUCGGGUUGUAAAGCCCUUUUGUUGGGAAAGAAAAGCAGCAGGUUAAUACCCCGCUGUUCUGACGGUACCCAAAGAAUAAGCACCGGCUAACUUCGUG
rnacentral:rRNA from 1 species